rnacentral:lncRNA from 1 species
GCCCACCUUCAGCCUUCUCUUUGAGGGCCCUUGCGUCUUCGCUGCAGCAGCUUCUGGAGCUGAGGUCCCAGCAGUGUCCCUCAGAGCCAAGCCCAGGACCCAGCAGGACCACGACCCAAGGUAGGACUACAGCUCCCCAGAUCCCCCCUCCCGCUGACGGCCGGGGACAUGUCGCCGUUGCACCAGGGAUGCGGCCCCUCACCAGUAGCUGCCGGCGCUGCCGCAACGGCACAUAGGGAGUUCACACAGAUGGGGAACUUCAGCUUUGGUGGAAAACCGAGGCUUAGAGAUGAACUGAUUUGCCCAAGGUCAUACAGCAAGUGCGAUCAAGCUGAGCUUCAAACUUAAGUCCAAGGCUCGCUGCUUUCAGUCACAAUGCGCUUGCCCAUGACAAUGUCCACGGCUCAAGGUCAAACAAAAGAGUGGAGUGGUCCCCUUUACUCAACAGACAAUGGAAAAGAAAAGGCCCAAAGAGGACCAGUAGUUAUCAGAAAUGCCAAGGUCAAGAACAGGGUAAAAAUGCCACCUAGAUGGCUUUUCUUCCCUAGAGAGAUGGUCUACAAAGUCUAGGUGAGGGACAGGAACUCACAGGGAGGUGGAAAAGCGGUCAGAGAGGCUGGUGAGAAAUAUGGAGAAGAUGGUGAUCCUAUGACUCCUGCUUGCCUGAAAGUCAAGGAGCCAAGGCUUAAAGGAGAGCACAUAUCAAAGGUCGACUGGUACCAUCUAUGAUGGCAUAUAUCCAAAACCUACCUUGGAUUAAGUGAUAAAGCAGAGACUGAAGGAGUGAGUGCUCAGGUGACAAUGGAAACAAUGAACUUGGAAGUGAGGAAAAGGAAACAAACUGAGAAGGCAGGAACUGCCUGCCUGCCUUUGAAACUCAACAGUGGGCACAGGAUACAGAAUGGGAGCCAGGGCAGAGGAGAGACAGCAGAUCCCUGGAUUUCAGUCUGAGGAAGCAAAAAAGGACUACACGGGCAGGACAACUCUUCCUUUAGAUGAUGAGGCUCAGGUCAAGUGGACAGUGACUCCAGGGAGCUGCAAUCAGAAGGUUCAGUGCAUGGCAGGCUAGAGAGAGAUGCAAGGUGCAUUACAAGUGUUAAAGACUUCCCUGAGGAUGUCUGCAAAGGAGGGAACAUCUGAACUGAGCCCUGGAGUAACAGUCUUUCAGGAAGGAUACACAGGCUGGCCCCUGGGUCACCACACUGCAAUCGAGACACAGACUUGAGCGAGUCAGGCCUCUGGUAACAGCCUCUUAUUUGGAGGCUAAGGUCAAGGCUAAGGCCCUGGAGCAGGGCCUCCGAGGCUCUCCUGUCCCCACUUCCCUGCCCUACUCUGCGGCUGUCAGCACUGGCUCUGACACACUGCUGUGGGCUGUGCUGUACCCACUGCCCUUGUUCCCAGGACCCAGCUGAUGAGUCACCCUCCUGUAAAUUCACUCCUGGGCUUUACAAGACAGGGCACUUCCCUUGACCUGGUACUUGUCACACCCUAAUGUGUUUGUCCAGUUUCGUGUCAGUUUCCUUGCUGGACUCAGUUUCUCCCAGGGUAAGAACUGAACUGUUACUGUUUGGCUCCCAGUGUUUGUGGACAUACUUGCUGAAUGAAUAAAUGACCUACGACAGAAGCAGCAAAUCCUCAGCUUGGAAGAUACUAGCAAGCAGCCUGCGGCG